rnacentral:piRNA from 1 species
AAAUGGGACCUCUAAAAUUGCAAAGCUUCUG